rnacentral:tRNA from 1 species
GAGGGCACAGCUCAGUGGUAGAGCGCAUGCUUAGCAUGCAUGAGGUCCUGGGUUCGAUCCCCAGUACUUCCA